GACGAACGCUGGCGGCGUGCUUAACACAUGCAAGUCGAACGGAAAGGCCCUGCUUUUGUGGGGUGCUCGAGUGGCGAACGGGUGAGUAACACGAGAGUAACCUGCCCUGGACGUUGGGAUAACGUCAGGAAACUGGGGCUAAUACCGGAUAGGAGCUCCUGCGGCAUGGUGGGGGGUGGAAAGUUUCGGCGGUUGGGGAUGGACUCGCGGCUUAUCAGCUUGUUGGUGGGGUAGUGGCUUACCAAGGCUUUGACGGGUAGCCGGCCUGAGAGGGUGACCGGCCACCUUGGGACUGAGAUACGGACCAGUCUCCUACGGUAGGCAGCAGUGGGGAAUCUUGCACAGUGGGCGGAAGCCUAAUGCAGCAGCGCCGCGUGCGGGAUGACGGCCUUCGCGUUGUAAACCGCUUUCGCCUGUGACGAAGCGUGAGUGACGGUAAUGGGUAAAGAAGCACCGGCUAACUACGUG
rnacentral:rRNA from 1 species